rnacentral:rRNA from 1 species
UACGGAAGGUCCGGGCGUUAUCCGGAUUUAUUGGGUUUAAAGGGAGCGUAGGCUGGAGAUUAAGCGUGUUGUGAAAUGUAGGUGCUCAACAUCUGCACUGCAGCGCGAACUGGUUUCCUUGAGUACGCACAAAGUGGGCGGAAUUCGUGGUGUAGCGGUGAAAUGCUUAGAUAUCACGAAGAACUCCGAUUGCGAAGGCAGCUCACUGGAGCGCAACUGACGCUGAAGCUCGAAAGUGCGGGUAUCGAACAGG